rnacentral:rRNA from 1 species
UACGUAGGGGGCAAGCGUUGUCCGGAUUUAUUGGGCGUAAAGAGCGUGUAGGCGGCCAGAUAGGUCAGCUGUGAAAACUCGAGGCUCAACCUCGAGACGUCGGUGGAAACCGUAUGGCUAGAGUCCGGAAGAGGAGAGUGGAAUUCCUGGUGUAGCGGUGAAAUGCGCAGAUAUCAGGAAGAACACCCGUGGCGAAGGCGGCUCUCUGGGGCGGUACUGACGCUGAGACGCGAAAGCGUGGGGAGCGAACAGG